rnacentral:rRNA from 1 species
GCGCCUUAUUGUCGAGGACGUGGUUCUAGCUUUCAUUAGCCGGGACACGGAGUCGGCAGCGUUACUUUGAGAAAAUUAGAGUGUUCAAAGCAGGCUAUCGCUCUGAAUACUACAGCAUGGAAUAACACGAUAGGACUCCGAGCCUAUUCUGUUGGUCUUCGGGACCGGAGUAAUGAUUAAGAGGGACAGUUGGGGGCAUUCGUAUUCCGAUGUCAGAGGUGAAAUUCUUGGAUUAUCGGAAGACGAACAUCUGCGAAAGCAUUUGCCAAGGAUGUUUUCAUUAAUCAAGAACGAAAGUUGGGGGCUCGAAGAAGAUCAGAUACCUUCCUAGUCUCAACCAUAAACGAUGCCGACUAGGGAUUGGCGGAUGUUUUUUAUGACUCCGUCAGCACCUUACGAGAAAUCAAAGUCUUUGGGUUCCGGGGGGAGUAUGGUCGCAAGGCUGAAACUUAAA